rnacentral:rRNA from 1 species
GACUCUCGGCAACGGAUAUCUCGGCUCUCGCAUCGAUGAAGAACGUAGCGAAAUGCGAUACUUGGUGUGAAUUGCAGAAUCCCGUGAACCAUCGAGUCUUUGAACGCAAGUUGCGCCCGAAGCCUUUAGGCCGAGGGCACGUCUGCCUGGGUGUCACGCAACGUCGCC